rnacentral:ribozyme from 14 species
AAAAAAAUAAAAAAAAAUAAAAGCAAACAGAGAAAUCUAUUUUAUAUUCCUGGACAGUGAGGGUAUGCACAUUUUCU